rnacentral:rRNA from 1 species
CCUACGGGUGGCAGCAGUGGGGAAUAUUGCGCAAUGGGCGAAAGCCUGACGCAGCGACGCCGCGUGAGGGAUGAAGGUCUUCGGAUCGUAAACCACUGUCAGCAGGGAGGAAGGGUCACUGUGCUAAUCAGCAGUGAAUUGACGGUACCUGCAGAGGAAGCACCGGCUAACUCCGUGCCAGCAGCCGCGGUAAUACGGAGGGUGCGAGCGUUAAUCGGAAUUACUGGGCGUAAAGCGCUCGUAGGCGGUAUGUCAAGUCAAGGGUGAAAUCCCCGGGCUCAACGUGGGAACUGCAUUUGAAACUGGCAAACUGGAGUGUCGUAGAGGAGAGUAGAAUUCCAGGUGUAGGAGUGAAAUGCGUAGAUAUCUGGAGGAACAUCAGUGGCGAAGGCGACUCUCUGGCACAUAACUGACGCUGAGGUGCGAAAGCGUGGGUAGCAAACAGGAUUAGAUACCCCUGUAGUC